rnacentral:lncRNA from 1 species
GGAAAAGCCGGUCGGUUUGGAGUCCAGAGCAGGAAAGGCUACAGUGGGCAGCGACCGUCCAGCCGGGACCCAGGCACAUUCCUGAGGCAGAGGCUUCUGUUUUCUCAGGCUACACUUGUUGGGAGGACCAGCCUUUGUCCGGAGCGUUCGGGAUCUCGUGAAGAGAACCCUGAGCAGGUCAGGGACACCCCAGAACUUCCGGGAAGCCUGACUCGCAUUUCCUUUGGGCUGCCUUCAAGCGUUUGGGGCUAAGCUCACGGCGAUGGAGCCGUGGAACAGAGUUCUCGGGAGACUCCUCCACCAUGAGGGAGCUGACUACAGACGAGGCUCGCGUCACCCUUCUUCCCUUCGUGAGCUGCAGAUGGGAGUGGGCCCAGCCACAGGGACAGAUUUCCCGCUGGGGAAAGGGAGAGAGAGAAUCUGGGCCAAGAAGCAUGUCUAUACGUCGCAUCUUUUCAAAAUUAAACUUUAUGAGGAGAAACGCCCUCCCUGUCUCCCGCCA